UUUAUGGAGAGUUUGAUCCUGGCUCAGGAUGAACGCUGGCGGCGUGCCUAAUACAUGCAAGUCGAGCGAACGGACGAGAAGCUUGCUUCUCUGAUGUUAGCGGCGGACGGGUGAGUAACACGUGGAUAACCUACCUAUAAGACUGGGAUAACUUCGGGAAACCGGAGCUAAUACCGGAUAAUAUUUUGAACCGCAUGGUUCAAAAGUGAAAGACGGUCUUGCUGUCACUUAUAGAUGGAUCCGCGCUGCAUUAGCUAGUUGGUAAGGUAACGGCUUACCAAGGCAACGAUGCAUAGCCGACCUGAGAGGGUGAUCGGCCACACUGGAACUGAGACACGGUCCAGACUCCUACGGGAGGCAGCAGUAGGGAAUCUUCCGCAAUGGGCGAAAGCCUGACGGAGCAACGCCGCGUGAGUGAUGAAGGUCUUCGGAUCGUAAAACUCUGUUAUUAGGGAAGAACAUAUGUGUAAGUAACUGUGCACAUCUUGACGGUACCUAAUCAGAAAGCCACGGCUAACUACGUGCCAGCAGCCGCGGUAAUACGUAGGUGGCAAGCGUUAUCCGGAAUUAUUGGGCGUAAAGCGCGCGUAGGCGGUUUUUUAAGUCUGAUGUGAAAGCCCACGGCUCAACCGUGGAGGGUCAUUGGAAACUGGAAAACUUGAGUGCAGAAGAGGAAAGUGGAAUUCCAUGUGUAGCGGUGAAAUGCGCAGAGAUAUGGAGGAACACCAGUGGCGAAGGCGACUUUCUGGUCUGUAACUGACGCUGAUGUGCGAAAGCGUGGGGAUCAAACAGGAUUAGAUACCCUGGUAGUCCACGCCGUAAACGAUGAGUGCUAAGUGUUAGGGGGUUUCCGCCCCUUAGUGCUGCAGCUAACGCAUUAAGCACUCCGCCUGGGGAGUACGACCGCAAGGUUGAAACUCAAAGGAAUUGACGGGGACCCGCACAAGCGGUGGAGCAUGUGGUUUAAUUCGAAGCAACGCGAAGAACCUUACCAAAUCUUGACAUCCUUUGACAACUCUAGA
rnacentral:rRNA from 1 species